UAUUCAAAAUUCAAUAAUUAUCUUUAUGAUCUUAUAAUAUUCAAUUCAUAGAAGAAUAUUUUAAAUUAUUUAUUGAUGAAAAAAUAAUGAUCAUUUUAAUUAUUUGUAAUAUAAAAAAAAUCAAUGGAUUUUAUAAACAACAAAAUAAAACAUAAAAAACAAAAAAGGUUUGAUAAAAUAAAACUAAAAUAUUUUUUUUGUUGAUUAUUAAUUUUUUUUUUUACUUUAGAUUAGGUUAGGUUAAAUUUAAGAUUUUUCUUUGAUAGCUAGCUUGUCGCAACCUGAUAAAACUAUAGCAGAUGAAACAUCGAAUAACCAUCAGAAUCGUAAGAAGAUAUCGCAUGACUUUUGCACGGCAGUGAUGACACUAGAUCUUUUCCUUAGUGGGGAUCUAAUCUCUAUAAAAAAAUAUUCUUAAACAAUGGCACGUGGCAAAAAGGACAUUUUCUAAUCGAACAUACUGGUGGACUUUACUUAGAUGGAUAUAUUUUCUAACUAUUCUUAUAGCAUUCAUUAUGCAGAGUCCAAUUUCAGUUAAUUCAUUUUUAACUCAAUUUUAACCCAAUUUUAGAGGAGAGGAAGAAAGUGGCGUUAAAGAAAUGGAGAAGAGUAGAAACUCUCAUUUUGCACGAAGGCAUCCAGCAAAUUCAUAGAGUACACCGGAGCCUCCGGUAUUGUUGUUGGAGAAGGCAAUAGUGUCCAUGUCAGAAGUAUAAAAGUGCAGCCAACACCUCGCGGGAAACGUUGACUACGAUAAGAGCGUAAUCGUUAAAUAUUACUUAUUGCAACAUUGAAAGUGAUGUCAAAGUCUAUCGAACUUCGAUCGAGAAAGAGGAGCAGACCACUCACUACUGAGGAAUACAAUGUUCUAACUAGAAUGAAAAAACAGGUUGUGAAGAAGGAAUCAAGAGAAAAUCAAAAUGCAUAGUUGAAAUUAUCGAUCUUCUCGAUUAUCAUUUAAUUAAAUAAUGGAGAUUAGAUCAUUCAAAAUUAUCAAUUCAAAAAUGUAAAAGAUUAUAUAUCAUGACUUUCGUGCAACUAUGAUUCCAUUUUCCUCUACAUUUCUUUUACAUUCCCCAUGGGUCAGCAUUGAUGACAAUGCAUGAUUUUUCCCAUUUAAUGGUGAAUCAUAUGCAUUUUUGUCUCUGAUUCGUCUCGUAGUUCAUCAUGAAAGAUCCAAGUCGUCGAUAUGAGUGACUUUUUUGUAUACAUAGAUUUUUAUACAGUGAAUACAGUGACCGCGGAUAUUUAUUACGUUAUAUUCAUGUACACAAUAAUAACGUUUUGUUGUAUUUAUUUAUUAAUUUACGUUUUGUUAUAAUAAUUAAUAUUUAAAAUAUUAAAAUAUUAAAAUAUUAAAAUAUUAAAUAUAUUUAAUCAUAUUAGUCAUUAUUGAAUUUUAUAAAAACAUAAAGAUUAGAAGAAACGAAUAAAGAAUUGAGAAUUAAGAAUAUUGUCAUCUAACGUAAAAUUGUUUAUACGCUUUAAAGAAAAAAAAGAUAUGUUAAUAAAUAAAAGAAAAAAACGAAAGAAAUCGUCCAAUUCCAAUCUUGUUGUUUUUCAUUUUUCCUUCAUUUCUCUUUGUCUUAACCAUAAUAAUUGUUAAGAUAUUACUGAACACAUGAUGUCCAGAUAUUGAACAUUAGGCAUAGAGUGAUGCUGCAAAGACAAUAAAUUUUUAAAAGAAAAACUUGGUAAUCCUUCGUUUCGUACAUAUAGAAA